rnacentral:rRNA from 1 species
UACGUAGGGUGCAAGCGUUGUCCGGAAUUAUUGGGCGUAAAGAGCUCGUAGGCGGUUUGUCGCGUCUGCUGUGAAAACGCGAGGCUCAACCUCGCGCCUGCAGUGGGUACGGGCAGACUAGAGUGCAGCAGAGGAUAGUGGAAUUCCCGGUGUAGUGGUGAAAUGCGUAGAUAUCGGGAGGAACACCAGUGGCGAAGGCGACUAUCUGGGCUGCAACUGACGCUGAGGCGCGAAGGCUAGGGUAGCAAACAGG